CUCGGACAGUUAAAGAUGCUUUGUUUAGUUGAAUCAGAGCCAUUUAAUACUUCUCGCUCCCAGGUCCAGUUUUUUAAAUAAAAAACUGGACCUGGGAGCGUUCACGAAUUCGCAGUAACCUACAGUGUGACGAUUGGGAGAAGUAAGGUUGGGGAUAAACUCCCGUAGUCGAGUGAGUUUCUCAUGUGUCACCAUUAAAAGGACAGACAGAAUGCGUCGAAGCCGCGGAACGAGCAAGAACUAUUUAUGACCACAACUACACGGAUGGAAGUGACGCUUCUUGCGUAGCAGACGACGUUCCAGUUCCAGACGCGCACCCUACCGUGGCUAAAGCGAGACUGAAAUCGAGUGCAGCGCCUACGCAAGGAUACAUGAGGAUACGCAUACCAAAUGCAGUUGUGCAGUCAUAUUGGGUGUUGUCAAUGUCAACGCGCACUGAGUAUUAUUUGCCAUUGACUACGUUCCACUUACGACCUGUUAUAGAAGCUCGCGGGAUUAGGUUGUUGGUAGGAAAUCGGGGGAUGCGUUACGGUAGUGUCUUGAGUGCACGAUUGUGUAGUGCGGAGUGAAAGUGAAUGCCUCAUCAGCGGUCCUGUUAAUGGCCACAACCUGUGCGGUCUUCGUUCUCCUAGCUGUAUCUCCUGUUGCUUUGCGAGACUGACUUUCAGGACUCUGCUAUGCACCUGGACUUUGGAGGCACCUCUGUAUUAAAAAACGAUUUCUGCAUAUCUGGAAAUUAAAUUUUUUUAAUAAGA